rnacentral:rRNA from 1 species
AGUGAACGCUAGCGGCAGGCCUAACACAUGCAAGUCGAGCGGCAGCGGGUCCUUCGGGAUGCCGGCGAGCGGCGGACGGGUGAGGAAUGCAUCGGAAUCUGCCCUGUCGUGGGGGAUAACCUAGGGAAACUUAGGCUAAUACCGCAUACGACCCACGGGUGAAAGCGGGGGAUCGCAAGACCUCGCGCGAUAGGAUGAGCCGAUGUCCGAUUAGCUAGUUGGCGGGGUAAAGGCCCACCAAGGCGACGAUCGGUAGCUGGUCUGAGAGGAUGAUCAGCCACACUGGGACUGAGACACGGCCCAGACUCCUACGGGAGGCAGCAGUGGGGAAUAUUGGACAAUGGGCGCAAGCCUGAUCCAGCCAUGCCGCGUGGGUGAAGAAGGCCUUCGGGUUGUAAAGCCCUUUUGUCCGGGAAGAAAUCGUCUGGGCUAAUACCCCGGGCGGAUGACGGUACCGGAAGAAUAAGCACCGGCUAACUUCGUG